CAGUCGCCGCGGUAAUACGGAGGGAGCUAGCGUUGUUCGGAAUUACUGGGCGUAAAGCGCGCGUAGGCGGCUUUGUAAGUUAGAGGUGAAAGCCUGGAGCUCAACUCCAGAAUUGCCUUUAAGACUGCAUCGCUUGAAUCCAGGAGAGGUGAGUGGAAUUCCGAGUGUAGAGGUGAAAUUCGUAGAUAUUCGGAAGAACACCAGUGGCGAAGGCGGCUCACUGGACUGGUAUUGACGCUGAGGUGCGAAAGCGUGGGGAGCAAACAGGAUUAGAUACCCCGGUAGUCCCUGUCUCUUAUAC
rnacentral:rRNA from 1 species